rnacentral:lncRNA from 1 species
AACAACAAAAGAUUAGCAAAUCCCACAUUCCCAUACUUUAUUCCGCUCCCUAAUCGCAACACCAUAAUCAGUUAAUCACGUCUCAUCUCAUAAUCCAAACUCUAAUCACUAUUCAAAGGACUGAAACAAACACAAAAGUAGAAACUCACACACCGCUUUCCUUUCUUCUUCUUAACUCCAACAAAAAUGGCCAACAGCCAAACACGCCCUAACUAAACAAAAGAAAAUCAGAAAAA